CUGGUUCAUUAGCGGUGUUACCGGGGACCUUUCGCGUGUAAAGCGAACGUGAUAACCACUACACCACGAAACCA